ACUGAGGGGAAGACAUUUGGAGGUUGAGUGUGAGGCAGCUGUUCAGAUCCUAUUCACACCUGCCACUCCUCCGUGAACAUGAAGCAGGCUGAGCCCCAAACGCGGAGAGAAGAAUACAGAUGGGCCCCCAACUUGAGGCACAGCUUGAGGUACAGCCUAGACCCACUGAUGGGCAUCCAACCUACUGAACGACGAGAAUAAAAUGAUGUUUUCCACUG